CAGCAGCCGCGGGAAUACGUAGGGCGCAAGCGUUGUCCGGAAUUAUUGGGCGUAAAGAGCUCGUAGGCGGUCUGUCGCGUCUGGUGUGAAAUCCCGAGGCUCAACCUCGGGCUUGCAUCGGGUACGGGCAGACUAGAGUGCGGUAGGGGAGACUGGAAUUCCUGGUGUAGCGGUGGAAUGCGCAGAUAUCAGGAGGAACACCGAUGGCGAAGGCAGGUCUCUGGGCCGCAACUGACGCUGAGGAGCGAAAGCAUGGGGAGCGAACAGGAUUAGAUACCCGCGUAGUCCCUGUCUCUUAUAC
rnacentral:rRNA from 1 species